GAGGGUAUAGUUCAAUGGUAGAGCACGUGCUUAGCAUGCACGAGGUCUUGGGUUCAAUCCCCAGUACCUCCA
rnacentral:tRNA from 1 species